UGGGGCCUACGGGGGGCAGCAGUGGGGAAUAUUGCACAAUGGGGAAACCCUGAUGCAACAACGCCGCGUGAGUGAAGAAGUAUUUCGGUAUGUAAAGCUCUAUCAGCAGGGAAGAAAAUGACGGUACCUGAGUAAGAAGCCCCGGCUAACUACGUGCCAGCAGCCGCGGUAAUACGUAGGGGGCAAGCGUUAUCCGGAUUUACUGGGUGUAAAGGGAGCGUAGACGGCAGGGCAAGUCUGGAGUGAAAGCCCGGGGCCCAACCCCGGGACUGCUUUGGAAACUGCCAUGCUAGAGUGCUGGAGAG
rnacentral:rRNA from 1 species